rnacentral:tRNA from 1 species
AACGACGAAGCUCAGUGGGAGAGCGCAGGCUUUUGCCUUAAGGUUGCUGGUUCGACUCCAGCCGUUGCCA